CCUCCUGGUCAUGCUCCCACUGGUCACCGGUGUCCGCGGGGCGACCCCACAUUGUGACCAGAGCAGGCCUGUGGCUGCGCUCAAAGGCGGGAUCGUUCAUAGCUUUCCUAGCGGGGGCCCUGCGGGACACCCAGGCUGCGCUCCUUUCCCUUGCUCACCUGGACCUGAAGUGAUGGGGGAGGUGUAACAAUGCAGUGGGAAUGCCAAAGUGUGUCUCAGCCGUGCCUUUCACAUUCCAAACAAUUCAAAAGCUUGAAGAAAACCUCAGCAGUUGAAACCGUGAUGCAGUUCAGCAAAGAAGUAGCUCCUGUCCUGGUAAAACAGUGAAGUUCUCAUGGACGACCUCAUUGAGAUUUAAACCUCAGACACAGGGAGCUGACCUAUUCACCUUAGAAUCCUCUGGGGCACCCAUUACAGUGUCUGUACCAAGGAGGCAACAAAGAACGGCAGAACAGACUGGAGCAGAAGGACAACCCAGCAGAGCCAAGCCAAAUCACUGACCCUCAGAGGCCUGAUGUGAAUGCUUCUGGCUUCAGUCCAUUGGAUUCUGCAGUAAUCUGCCGAUCUACAGUAUUACCACAGUAAAUAACCGAUAGACCUGAAAACGAAUGCAUGCCUCGUGCCAAAAUUGCAGGAAACCUCACCAGCAGAAACAAUUUUAUAUGAGGGAAUGUACUCUCUCCUUUGCAUUUUUCCUCAAAUCUAUAUUUUUAGCCCCUCACUUGUCUCUACAGAGCCUCAGUUGCUUAAUCUAAUUGCUGACUGAACAUCUCCAGGAAACUGUGUGUACGUGUUUGUAUUCAUAGUAUAUUUAUUUAUUAUCUGUUUACUUCCAUGGGAUAUAGUCUCCGUAAGAGAGUAGUCAUCAUUGUAUUUGUUGAUGCUUAAUAAAUAAUCAUUGAAUGGGC
rnacentral:lncRNA from 1 species